UAUAAGUGAUGGCGACCGGCGCACGGGUGAGUAACACGUAUCCAACCUGCCGAUAACUCGGGGAUAGCCUUUCGAAAGAAAGAUUAAUACCCGAUGGUAUAAUAAAACCGCAUGGUUUAAUUAUUAAAGAAUUUCGGUUAUCGAUGGGGAUGCGUUCCAUUAGGCAGUUGGUGAGGUAACGGCUCACCAAACCUUCGAUGGAUAGGGGUUCUGAGAGGAAGGUCCCCCACAUUGGAACUGAGACACGGUCCAA
rnacentral:rRNA from 1 species